rnacentral:rRNA from 1 species
GAUGAACGCUGGCGGCGUGCUUAACACAUGCAAGUCGAACGUGCUUUUUGUGGAAAUUCUCUCGGGAAUGGAAAUGCAAUGAAAGUGGCGAACGGGUGAGUAACACGUGAGCAACCUACCUUACACAGGGGGAUAGCCGUUGGAAACGACGAUUAAUACCGCAUGAGACCACAGAAUCGCAUGAUACAGGGGUCAAAGCAUUAUCGGGGUAAGAAGGGCUGGCGUCUGAUUAGCUAGUUGGAUGGGUAAAGGCCUACCAAGGCGACGAUCAGUAGCCGGUCUGUGAGGAUGAACGGCCACAUUGGAGCGGAGCCACGGUACAGACUCCUACGGGAGGCAGCAGUGGGGGAUGGUGCACAGUGGGGUGAAUCCUGAUGGUGCGACGACGCGUGAGCGAAGAAGGUUGGGGAAUCGUAAAGCGCUGGCCUAUGUGAAGGUAAUGACGGUACCAAAGGAGAAAGCCCCGGCUAAAUACGUG